rnacentral:lncRNA from 1 species
GUUAGGGUUAUAGUAAGGGUUAGGGAAAAUAUGAUUUCAAAGGAAAUUAAUUUAAGGUCCCCAAUUGGAUAGAAGAACUAAACGUGUGUGUGUGUGUGUGUAGGAGGGUUGGGAGAUCAGGAGGUGGAAUAGCAUAGAGAGUGAGACGAUGUUUCUUGUAUAUUUUGUCUCUCUGUGUGCAUAGUGUGCUGGCCCUACAAGGCAGGUGGAGCUGGGUUAAGUCACAAUGAACUGGAGAGUUGGAGAGCUGCCACUGCCAAGGCAACCAUGAGGGAUGGAGGAGACGGGAGGUCCAGAAAAUCCAUUCAUCAUGCCUGUCUCUGCCUCAGCCUCUGUCCAUGUCUCUGCCUCAGCCUCUGUCCAUGUCCCUGUCUCUGCCUCAGCCUCAGUCCAUGUCCCUGUCUACUGCCUCCAGCCUCUGUCAUUGUCCCUGCUCUGUCCAUGUCCCCUGUCUCUGUCCCUGUCUCUGCCUCAGCCUUGCCCAUUGUCCUGUCUCGCCGCCUCUGUCUUCCCGCCUCGCCUCGCCUCUGUCAUGUCCCUGUCUCUGCCUCAGCCUCUGUCCAUGUCCCUGUCUCUGGCCUCAGCCUCUGUCCAUGUCCCUGCUCGGUCCAUGUCCCCGUCUCUGCCCUCUGUGCCCUGUCUCUUGUCCAUGUCCCUGUCUCUCCCUCUGUCCAUGUCCCUGUCUCAGCCUCUGUCCAUGUCCCUGUCUCUGCCUCUGUCCAUGUCCCUGCUCUCGCCUCUGUCCAGUCCCGUCUCGCCUCUGUCCAUGUCCCCGCUCUGCCUCUGUCCAUGUCCCUGUCUCUGCCUCUGUCUCAUGUCCCUGUCUCUGCCUCUGUCCCUGUCCCUGUCUCUGCCUCUGUCCAUGUCUCUGCCCAUGUCCCUGCCUCAGCCUCUGUCCAUGUCCUCGUCUGCUGCCCUGUCCAUGUCCCUGUCUCUGCCCUGUCGUCCCUGGCUCUGCUCUGUCAUGUCCCUGUCUCUGCCUCGUCCAUGUCCUGGCCUGCCCUGUCCAUGUCCCUGUCUCUGUCCAUGUCCCUGUCUCUGCCUCUGUCCAUGUCCCUGCCUCAGCCUCUGUCCAUGUCCCUGCCUCGCUCUGUCCAUGUCCCUGUCUCUGCCUCCGCCUCUGGCCAUGUCCCUGUCUCUGCCUCAGCCUCUGUCCAUGUCCCUGCCUUCAGCCCUCAGCCUCUGUCCAUGUCUCUGCCUCAGCCUCUGUCCAUGUCCCUGUCCCUGUCUCUUGCUCUGUCCAUGUCCCUUGUCCUGUUCUGCCUCGUGUCCAUGGCCUGUCUCUGCCUCGCCUCUCU